GUCUUUUCAGAGACAUCCAAUAAAAUUGGAACGAUACAGAGAAGAUUAGCAUGGCCCUUUGCGCAAGGAUGACACGCACAAAUUGAGAAAUGGUUCAAAUUUUU
rnacentral:snRNA from 1 species